GUGGUUUCCAUCUCUUAUUGAUGUCCUGAGAACUUGGCUCUACAGAAUGGUCCCACCCUAUUUGUCUGGCAUGAGUCCUGCAAAGUUUCUUUUCAUCAUUUGGGGGAUGAGAUGGGGGUAUAUAGGUUUGCAAGUGACUAGGAGCUAAGUCAGGACCUUGUGGAGCCACUCAGAGUUAACUGUCAAGUAGCCUCCUUUCCCCCUUCCCUUGCAGGAUGAUUGCCUGCAAGACAGGGCCUGGAGGCCAGGGCACCCAAGGCCACAGAAAUGCCCAGGGAUGAGUCCUGGCUGGAGAUGCCUUGGCCGAGCUGACUGUGCACUUCCAGGGCUCACAGGGGUCUGGCCAGGAGACUGAGCAAGGGGACCAGGGAGGUUGUGUAGCAGGCUUCUGCACAGCAAGGCAGACAUUCUUCUUGGAGCCCCCAACCCAAAUCAGGUCUUCCACCUCCUCUUCCUAAAGACCCUUUACUGCUGUCGUUCCUUUACUGAACUACAAGUUUAGAGGACAUGGAUUUCAGUGCCCUCAUCUGGCCAACCAUCUUCAGCUGCCAAUGGACAAGGUAACCUCCCUCCCUGCCAAGACCUGACUCAGGACCUUUCCUUAAGGAGAUGUCCUGUUCUUUCUUUCCCACCAGAACUGCCCUGGCCCAGACCCCAUUUCUGUCUGGUGACCAGGACAGUCCCCUCACCAGUCUCCCAGGUUGGGGAGGGCAGAUCCUCCUCAGCUCCCUGCCCCUGAGAGACCCCAACCAUCUUGUGUGGCUCCGGCCCACAGAGUGAUAUCCAUGGCCCAUAUCUCUCAAAACUCUCCCCUCCCACUCUGAAUCCACCCUCUACUGCAUGCUCCCCUCACAGAACAGACUAAUUUUUGUGUGUGUGUCCUUGUUUUGCCUACCUGUACCCCAGACAGACUUUUCUGUCUUAGAACUACCUGUCCCUCUUUGGACAGUGUCUUCCUGGUACUGCACAUGAAGAUGUCCCGCUCUCCCCUGCUCAAGGAGAGAGUGCCUGACCUGAGCUGGGCCCAUCAGAUCCAGUACUUACCUGGAAUAGGAAAAAGAUGGGGAGAGUGACCAAAGACUACAAAAAUCUCUGAAGCUUAUCUACUUGAGAGAGAGUCCCUGAAGAUACUGGCCUCUCAUUCCUGCUAUGUAUAUCCAAUGUGACUGAACUCUGAAUAAAAUAUACAAGUUAUAACAAUGUAGCAAUUGACCCAGCAAACGAGGACACAAACGUGUUGAAGGGUAAGGUGGUGAGAGGCGUGUUUGGGGGUGGUGGUGAUGAGCAAGUAUGUGAAGGAGAGGUAGUGCCUAAACUUGAAAAUCAAAAAGUAAUAAUAUCUAUUUAGGCAUAAGGAGAUAAAUAAUGAAAUAAUUGCUUCUAUGUGAUGAAACUCUGGGAGUACACAAGGGCACUGCUAUUUUACUAAACAAAUUUUCAAGUAUAUAUAACUUUGAUAAAGUAUCCAAAUAAUUCCUUUCCCAUAUAAGUAUGUGUAUAUAUGUAUUCAUUGUAUUUUGAAGAUAAGUUUUUACACAGUCAUGUUAAUCGCUUUCAUUUAAGGAUUUGAGUUUGAUGUCUUGCAUACAAUGUGAUCCCACUGUAUGACUACACAAAUGUUGGCAAAAGUAAGUUCAGAGGAAAUGGUAGGCAAGUACUUCCCAGUUUUGACCAGAAGAUGGAGAAAAAAGAAUUCUCAAAAAAUAUUAAAAGUGUCUACGGAGAAAUAGACAAGCGAUGCACGACAGAUACAUGUGUCAGUCUGGUCCCUGCAGUUGUAUUUGUAAUAAUACACAUUGGAGCAAUUUCAUGGCCAUCGGUUAGAGAAUGUUUGAGGAAUGAUCCUUUCAUAUCAAGAAGGACAUUUCAAAGAUCAAAACCUGAUGGAAAUGCUGGAGACCAUGGCGCUGAUAGGAGCUCAUGCGUGUUGUCCAAUUACUACGUGACAGGCAUUGGCUCCAUGCUUUUCCUGCACUGCUCAUUUAAACACUGGACAACCUAAGUGUUCUGAUUUAGCCCAUUGGACAGAUAGAAAUGGAGGCACAGAAGAUUAAUGUGUUUAACUUCAAACCCUGGCAGAUUAGGUUUUUCAUCCAGAGCCUGUGGCUUCACCAUAGCUGUGAUUCACGUUCUGUCAUUCUCCUCUUUAGGAAUUUCCAGUAUUCCAAAUAUGAGAAGCUGAGAAAACAAACAACAAACUCAAAACCCUAAAAACCAGGAUACGUAAGGGUAGAUGUUUGUUGGGUGUGGAUUAAAAAUGGACUUUUUUUGCCCCAAGCAACAAAGAGGCACCUUAGAAAAUAGACAAGAGACAAGAAGAAGAGAAGCUUUAAGAGAUAUUUGGUCCAAGGAAGAGACUCUUCAGAUGGAAGGUCACGUCAGCUAGAAACAUUAAUAUGACUGGAUGGGCUCAAACCACUGACUUUUCAGUCAACAUCCGACAGCACUAACCUAGUGUUCCAGAGACACUGCUUGUUAAACAGUGAAAGCUGUUGCUCAAUUGUGUCAUCCGUAAUUGUCAAAUAUUGCCAUUUAGUAGCACAAGGAAGUAUUCUCCGUUGCCAAGCUAGAGCACCCAUAACUCUUCUGUUUUGUUGAACAUUCUUCCCCACCACAAACCCUCUUUAGAAGACUGGGGGCUC
rnacentral:lncRNA from 10 species